GGCAACCCUGACGGAGCAACGCCGCGUGUGGGAGGACGGCCUUCGGGUUGUAAACCACUUUUCUCAGGGAAGGAGCACUGACGGUACCUGAGGAAUCAGCCUCGGCUAACUCCGUGCCAGCAGCCGCGGUAAUACGGAGGAGGCAAGCGUUAUCCGGAAUUAUUGGGCGUAAAGCGUCCGCAGGGGGCACAUCAAGUCUGCUGUUAAAGGCUGGAGCUUAACUCCGGUAGAGCAGUGGAAACUGGUGUGCUAGAGGGCGACAGGGGUAGAGGGAAUUCCCAGUGUAGCGGUGAAAUGCGUAGAGAUUGGGAAGAACACCGGUGGCGAAAGCGCUCUACUGGGUCGCACCUGACCCUCAGGGACGAAAGCUAAGGUAGCG
rnacentral:rRNA from 1 species